AUUGAACGCUGGCGGCAGGCCUAACACAUGCAAGUCGAGCGAGCGGCGGACGGGUGUGUAAUGUAUGGGGCUCUGCCCGAUAGAGGGGGAUAACUACUGGACACUGUGGCUAAUACCGCAAUCUAUCGUAUGACCCCAGAUGGGAUUAGCUAGUAGGUGGGGUAAAGGCUCACCUAGGCGACGAUCUCUAGCUGGUCUGAGAGGAUGAUCAGCCACACUGGGACUGAGACACGGCCCAGACUCCUACGGGAGGCAGCAGUGGGGAAUAUUGCACAAUGGGCGCAAGCCUGAUGCAGCCAUGCCGCGUGUAUGAAGAAGGCCUUAGGGUUGUAAAGUACUUUCAGCGGGGAGGCGUUACCCGAAGAGGAAGCACCGGCUAACUCCGUGCCAGCAGCCGCGGUAAUUC
rnacentral:rRNA from 1 species